UACGAAGGGGGCGAGCGUUGUUCGGAAUUACUGGGCGUAAAGGGCGCGCAGGCGGCUCUGGAAGUCAGAUGUGAAAGCCCCGGGCUCAACCUGGGAAUUGCAUUUGGGACUCCAGGACUAGAGUUCGGGAGAGGUGGGUGGAAUUCCCAGUGUAGAGGUGAAAUUCGUAGAUAUUGGGAAGAACACCGGUGGCGAAGGCGGCUCACUGGACCGAGACUGACGCUGAGGCGCGAAAGCGUGGGGAGCAAACAGG
rnacentral:rRNA from 1 species